GCCGAAGUGGCGGAACUGGCAGACGCGCUAGCUUCAGGAGCUAGUGAGAGCAAUCUCAUCGGGGUUCAAAUCCCCGCUUCGGCACCA
rnacentral:tRNA from 2 species